GAGUUUGAUCAUGGCUCAGAUUGAACGCUGGCGGAAUGCUUUACACAUGCAAGUCGAACGGCAGCACGGGGGCAACCCUGGUGGCGAGUGGCGAACGGGUGAGUAAUACAUCGGAACGUGCCCAGUCGUGGGGGAUAACGUAGCGAAAGCUACGCUAAUACCGCAUACGAACCCUGGUUGAAAGCGGGGGAUCGCAAGACCUCGCGCGAUUGGAGCGGCCGAUGGCAGAUUAGGUAGUUGGUGGGGUAAAGGCCUACCAAGCCGACGAUCUGUAGCUGGUCUGAGAGGACGACCAGCCACACUGGGACUGAGACACGGCCCAGGACUCCUACGGGAGGCAGCAGUGGGGAAUUUUGGACAAUGGGCGCAAGCCUGAUCCAGCCAUUCCGCGUGCAGGAUGAAGGCCCUCGGGUUGUAAACUGCUUUUGUACGGAACGAAAAGGCUCCUUCUAAUACAGGGGCUGAUGACGGUACCGUAAGAAUAAGC
rnacentral:rRNA from 1 species